rnacentral:rRNA from 1 species
UACUCUGGAUCUGUCUUCGGCAGCGGUAUAUGUGACUAAUUGACCGUUAUUACGGUAUGGAUCCGUGAGGAAUAUUGGUCAAUGUUGUUGAGUCUGAACCAUCCAAGUCGCGUGAGGUGAGACUGCCAUAUGGGUUGGAAAUCUCCUUUAUAAGGGAGGAAUAAGUUAUACGGUUAGAAUGAUGCCUGUACCUUAUGAAUAAGCAUCGGCUAACUCCGUGCCAGCAGCCGCGGUAAUACGGAGGAUGCGAGCGUUAUCCGGAUUUAUUGGGUUUAAAGGGUGCGUAGGCGGUUUAUUAAGUUAGUGGUUAAAUAUUUGAGCUAAACUCAAUUGUGCCAUUAAUACUGGUAAACUGGAGUACAGACGAGGUAGGCGGAAUAAGUUAAGUAGCGGUGAAAUGCAUAGAUAUAACUUAGAACUCCGAUAGCGAAGGCAGCUUACCAGACUGUAACUGACGCUGAAGCACGAGAGCGUGGGUAGCGAACAGGAUUAGAUACCCUGGUAGUCCACGCCGUAAACGAUGCUCACUGGUUCUGUGCGAUAUAUUGUACGGGAUUAAGCGAAAGUAUUAAGUGAGCCACCUGGGGAGUACGUCGGCAACGAUGAAACUCAAAGGAAUUGACGGGGGCCCGCACAAGCGGAGGAACAUGUGGUUUAAUUCGAUGAUACGCGAGGAACCUUACCUGGGUUUAAAUGGGAAAUGCCGUAUUUGGAAACAGAUAUUCUCUUCGGAGCGUUUUUCAAGGUGCUGCAUGGUUGUCGUCAGCUCGUGCCGUGAGGUGUCGGGUUAAGUCCCAUAACGAGCGCAACCCUUACCGUUAGUUGCUAGCAUGUAAUGAUGAGCACUCUAACGGGACUGCCACCGUAAGGUGAGAGGAAGGCGGGGAUGACGUCAAAUCAGCACGGCCCUUACACCCAGGGCUACACACGUGUUACAAUGGCCGGUACAGAGGGCUGCUACCAGGUGACUGGAUGCCAAUCUCAAAAGCCGGUCGUAGUUCGGAUUGGAGUCUGUAACCCGACUCCAUGAAGUUGGAUUCGCUAGUAAUCGCGCAUCAGCCAUGGCGCGGUGAAUACGUUCCCGGGCCUUGUACACACCGCCCGUCAAGCCAUGGAAGCCGGGGGUGCCUGAAGUCCGUAACCGCGAGGAUCGGCCUAGGGCAAAACUGGUAACUGGGGCUAAGUCGUAACAAGGUAGCCGUACCGGAAGGUGCGGCUG